rnacentral:lncRNA from 1 species
AUGGGGCGGGGGGUGGUUCUUUCAGAGGCUGGGAGUGCCUGCUCACUGCCUCUUCCUGGUGCACUGCUUGGAGUUAGAACUUCUGAGGAAAAGAGCCUGGUGGUCUCUCUUCCCCCUUGUGGAAUAUCCUUGAAGCAGCCUUUCACUUGCAUGUUGCCCCAGGUGCCCUUGGCUGUAGAAGUUUCUUCCUCCUUUCUCAGAAGAGAAAGAUCUUUCAUCUGGAACAGUGAGGGUGGCCUUUGGCAGCACAGAGAGGGGAGAAUGGACAACACAGUACAUCACAAUGGGACACGGGCGACCUGCCUCCACUCCCUCUGCUCGGAACUUCCGCAGAAGCAGCAGGACAAUGAAGGGAGAGGAAAGGAUUACAAAUAUGGAACCCAUCAAGAAAACUGCAUCCAGAAUGUCCAAGAUGUCCAAGAACUGGAGCCAGAUAUUGGGUGGGUAAACCUUGAGGUUUAUUCCAUUUAG